rnacentral:lncRNA from 1 species
UUAACUCCAUCCCAGUCCCUCCCAGUAACCCCUAACUCCAUCCCAGUCCAUCCCAGUCCCUCCCAGUAUAUCCCAGUCCCUCCCAGUACCCACAAACCUCAUCCCAGUCCAUCCCAGUUCCCUUUAACUCGCUCCCAGUCCCUCCCAGUAUAACCCAGUUCAUUCCCAGUCCAUCCCAGUCGCUCCCAGUAUAUCCCAGUCUGCCCUAAUCCCAUCCCAGUCCAUCCCAGUCCCUCCCAGUAACCCCUAACCCCAACCCAGUUCAUCCCAGUCCCUCCCAGUAUAUCCCUGUCCAUCCCAGUAACCCCUAACUCCAUCCCAGUCCCUCCCAGUCCAUCCCAGUCUGCCCUAAUCUCAUCCCAGUCCCUCCCAGUCCAUCCCAGUAUAACCCAGUCCAUCCCAGUUCCCUCCCAGUCCCUCCCAGUCC